rnacentral:lncRNA from 1 species
AGCCUCCCAGGUGUCCCUCCAAAGGGGUUUUUUAAAAAGACUUACAGGAUCUUGGAGGUCAGGCUAAUGUCAAGAGAGACACAGCAAACAGCGAGAGAGGGAACACAAGCAGCGGGAGUGGGAGAGAGAGAAGCAGACUUCCUGCAGAGCAGGGAUCCCAAUGCGGGGCUCGAUGCCAGGACCCUGGGAUCCUGACCUGACCUGAAGGCAGACACUUAGCGGCUGAGCCACCCAGAUGCCCUCGAUCUAUUAACUUUAACUAGGUAAGGAAAUUAAUGAAUUGCAAAAAAAUAAGUUUUAA